rnacentral:rRNA from 1 species
GAGCCCAAACCAGAAACUUGUUUCUGGGGUUGUGGAUAGAUCAUGAAAGAAGAGGUAUCUUAAUCGAAGAGGGCUGGAACGCCCUACCAUAGAAGGUAAUAGUCCUGUAGAUAAAAAGAGAAAACUUUAAGAUCUAAUCCAGAGUACCACGAGACACGUGAAACCUUGUGGGAAGCAGGGAGGACCACCUCCCAAGGCUAAAUACUACCUAGUGACCGAUAGUGAAGCAGUACCGUGAGGGAAAGGUGAAAAGAAC